AGAGUUUGAUCCUGGCUCAGGAUGAACGCUGACAGAAUGCUUAACACAUGCAAGUCUACUUGAUCCUUCGGGUGAUGGUGGCGGACGGGUGAGUAACGCGUAAAGAACUUGCCUUGCAGUCUGGGACAACGUCUGGAAACGGACGCUAAUACCGGAUAUUAUGAUUGAAUCGCAUGAUUUGAUUAUGAAAGCUAUAUGCGCUGCGAGAGAGCUUUGCGUCCCAUUAGUUAGUUGGUGAGGUAACGGCUCACCAAGACGAUGAUGGGUAGCCGGCCUGAGAGGGUGAACGGCCACAAGGGGACUGAGACACGGCCCUUACUCCUACGGGAGGCAGCAGUGGGGAAUAUUGGACAAUGGACCAAAAGUCUGAUCCAGCAAUUCUGUGUGCACGAUGAAGUUUUUCGGAAUGUAAAGUGCUUUCAGUUGGGAAGAAGAAAGUGACGGUACCAACAGAAGAAGCGACGGCUAAAUACGUGCCAGCAGCCGCGGUAAUACGUAUGUCGCAAGCGUUAUCCGGAUUUAUUGGGCGUAAAGCGCGUCUAGGCGGUUUGGUAAGUCUGAUGUGAAAAUGCGGGGCUCAACUCCGUAUUGCGUUGGAAACUGCCAAACUAGAGUACUGGAGAGGUAGGCGGAACUACAAGUGUAGAGGUGAAAUUCGUAGAUAUUUGUAGGAAUGCCGAUGGGGAAGCCAGCCUACUGGACAGAUACUGACGCUAAAGCGCGAAAGCGUGGGUAGCAAACAGGAUUAGAUACCCUGGUAGUCCACGCCGUAAACGAUGAUUACUAGGUGUUGGGGGUCGAACCUCAGCGCCCAAGCUAACGCGAUAAGUAAUCCGCCUGGGGAGUACGUACGCAAGUAUGAAACUCAAAGGAAUUGACGGGGACCCGCACAAGCGGUGGAGCAUGUGGUUUA
rnacentral:rRNA from 1 species